AACGAACGCUGGCGGCAUGCCUAACACAUGCAAGUCGAACGAGACCUUCGGGUCUAGUGGCGCACGGGUGCGUAACGCGUGGGAACCUGCCCUUAGGUUCGGAAUAACUCCCCGAAAGGGGUGCUAAUAACGGAUAAUGUCUUCGGACCAAAGAUUUAUCGCCUUUGGAUGGGCCCGCGUUGGAUUAGCUAGUUGGUAGGGUAAAAGCCUACCAAGGCGACGAUCCAUAGCUGGUCGGAGAGGAUGAUCCGCCACACUGGGACUGAGACACGGCCCAGACUCCUACGGGAGGCAGCAGUGGGGAAUAUUGGACAAUGGGCGAAAGCCUGAUCCAGCAAUGCCGCGUGAGUGAUGAAGGCCUUAGGGUUGUAAAGCUCUUUUUCCCGGGAUGAUAAUGACAGUACCGGGUGAAUAAGCUCCGGCUAACUCCGUG
rnacentral:rRNA from 1 species